rnacentral:rRNA from 1 species
CCCAAGUGGCAACCCGCGAUUAUUGGGCCUAAAGCGUUCGUAGCCGGCUGAGUGAAUCUUUUGUGAAAUUGUCAAGCUUAACUUGAUAGCGCGCAGGAGAGACUGCUCAGCUAGGGACCGGGAGGAGUUAGAAGUAUUCCGGGGGGAGCGGUAAAAUGUUAUAAUCCUCGGAAGACUACCUGUGGCGAAAGCGUCUAACCAGAACGGAUCCGACGGUCAGGAACGAAAGCCAGGGGAGCAAAACGGAUUAGAUACCCGAGUAGUCCUGGCUGUAAACUCUGUGAGCAAGGUGUUGCAUAUUCUACAUGAAUGUGCAGUACCGAAACGAAGGUGUUAAGCUCACCGCCUGGGAAGUACGGUCGCAAGACUGAAACUUAAAGGAAUUGGCGGGGGAGCACUACAAGGGGUGCGGCGUGCGGUUUAAUCUAAUUCCACACAGAGAAUCUCACCAGGAGCGACGGCAGAAUGAAAGUCAUGCUGAAGACAUUACUUGACGAGCCGAGAGGUAGUGCAUGGCCGCCGUCAGCUCGUGCCGUAAGGUGUCCUGUUAAGUCAGGCAACGAGCAAGACCUGUAUCCACAAUUGCUAUCGGAUCCUCUAGGAUGACUGGGCACUUUGUGGGGACUGCCUCGGAAACGAGGAGGAAGGUGCAGGCAACGGUAGGUCUGUAUGCUCCGAAUCUCCUGGGCUACACGCGCGCAACAAUGGUAGGGACAAUGGGAUACGACUCCGAAAGGAGAAGUUAAUCCUCGAAACCCUAUCCAAGUCCGGAUUGAGGAUUGUAACUCAUCCUCAUGACGAUGGAAUCCCUAGUAAUGAGACGUCAUCAGCGUCCCGUGAAUAUGUCCCUGCUCCUUGCA